GACGAACGCUGGCGGCGUGCUUAACACAUGCAAGUGGAGCGACGAACCAGGGCUUGCCCUGGGGCAGAGCCGCGAACGGGUGAGUAACACGCGGGUAACGUGCCCCGAUGACUGGGACAACCCGGGGAAACCCGGGCUAAUACCGGAUGUGCCCCCUCACAUCAGUGAGGUGUGUAAAGGAAGCUUCGGCCUCCGCAUCGGGAUCGGCCCGCGGCCCAUUAGCUUGUUGGUGAGGUAACGGCUCACCAAGGCUGCGAUGGGUAGCUGGUCUGAGAGGACGAUCAGCCACACUGGGACUGAGACACGGCCCAGACUCCUACGGGAGGAAGCAGUGGGGAAUCUUGCGCAAUGCGCGAAAGCGUGACGCAGCAACGCCGCGUGGGGGAAGACGGCCUUCGGGUUGUAAACCCCUUUCAGUUGGGACGAAGGUCGGGCGGUUAACAGCCGUUCCGGCUGACGGUACCUUCACAAGAAGCCCCGGCUAACUACGUG
rnacentral:rRNA from 1 species